rnacentral:rRNA from 1 species
AGAGUUUGAUCCUGGCUCAGGAUGAACGCUGGCGGCGUGCCUAACACAUGCAAGUCGAGCGAGAAAGCCCGCAAGGGUGAGUAAAGCGGCGCACGGGUGCGUAACACGUGGGUAAUCUGCCCUGAAGUCCGGAAUAACUCGCCGAAAGGCGUGCUAAUGCCGGAUAAGACCACGGGAACCUCGGUUCCUGCGGGAAAAGGUGGCCUCUGUACACAAGCUAUCACUUCAGGAUGAGCCCGCGGCCCAUCAGCUAGUUGGCGGGGUAAUGGCCCACCAAGGCUCCGACGGGUAGCUGGUCUAAGAGGACGAUCAGCCACACUGGAACUGAGACACGGUCCAGACUCCUACGGGAGGCAGCAGUGGGGAAUCUUGCGCAAUGGGCGAAAGCCUGACGCAGCAACACCGCGUGUGUGAUGAAGGUCUUCGGAUCGUAAAACCCUGUCGUCAGGGACGAAGGUUGGGAUCCUAAUACGAUUUCAGCUUGACGGUACCUGGAGAGGAAGCCCCGGCUAACUCUGUGCCAGCAGCCGCGGUAAUACAGAGGGGGCAAGCGUUAUUCGGAAUUAUUGGGCGUAAAGGGCGCGUAGGCGGUUUUGUAAGUAGGAUGUGUAAUCCCCGAGCUCAACUUGGGAACUGCAUCCUAGACUGCAAGGCUAGAGUACUGGAGAGGGUGGUAGAAUUCCACGUGUAGCGGUGAAAUGCGUAGAGAUGUGGAGGAAUACCAGUGGCGAAGGCGGCCACCUGGACAGUAACUGACGCUGAGGCGCGAAAGUGUGGGGAGCAAACAGGAUUAGAUACCCUGGUAGUCC